rnacentral:rRNA from 1 species
ACGAACGCUGGCGGCAUGCCUAACACAUGCAAGUCGAACGCGACCUUCGGGUCUAGUGGCGCACGGGUGCGUAACGCGUGGGAACCUGCCCUUAGGUUCGGAAUAACUCCCCGAAAGGGGUGCUAAUACCGGAUAAUGUCUUCGGACCAAAGAUUUAUCGCCUUUGGAUGGGCCCGCGUUGGAUUAGCUAGUUGGUAGGGUAAAAGCCUACCAAGGCGACGAUCCAUAGCUGGUCUGAGAGGAUGAUCAGCCACACUGGGACUGAGACACGGCCCAGACUCCUACGGGGGGCAGCGGGGGGGAAAUUUGGAAAAGGGGCGAAGACCUGGCCACGCCAUGCCGGGGGAGGGAAGAAGGCCUUGGGGUUGUAAAACCUUUUGCCCGGGGAGGAAAAUGACAGAACGGGAGAAAAAAGCCCGGCCAAACCCGGGG